AACGCGAAGAACCUUACCUGGGCUCGAAAUGCAGUGGACCGGGGUGGAAACAUCCCUUCCCCUUAAAAGGCUGCUGCAUAGGUGCUGCAUGGCUGUCGUCAGCUCGUGUCGUGAGAUGUUGGGUUAAGUCCCGCAACGAGCGCAACCCUUAUUACCUGUUGCUAACGCGUAAUGGCGAGGACUCGGGUGAAACUGCCUGGGAUAACCAGGAGGAAGGUGGGGAUGACGUCAAGUCCUCAUGGCCUUUAUGUCCAGGGCUACACACGUGCUACAAUGGCCGGUACAAACCGUCGCAAACCCGUGAGGGGGAGCUAAUCGGAAAAAGCCGGCCUCAGUUCGGAUUGGAGUCUGCAACUCGACUCCAUGAAGCUGGAAUCGCUAGUAAUCGCGGAUCAGAACGCCGCGGUGAAUACGUUCCCGGGCCUUGUACACACCGGAGUGC
rnacentral:rRNA from 1 species